rnacentral:misc_RNA from 1 species
GAUGAAGAACGUAGCGAAAUGCGAUAAGUAAUGUGAAUUGCAGAAUUCAGUGAAUCAUCGAAUCUUUGAACGCACAUUGCGCCCACCAGUAUUCUGGCGGGCAUGCCUGUUCGAGCGUCAUUUCAACCAUCAAGCCCCCGGCUUGUGUUGGGGACCUGCGGCUGCCGCAGGCCCUGAAAACCAGUGGCGGGCUCGCUAGUCACUCCGAGCGUAGUAAUACAUCUCGCUCAGGGCGUGCUGCGGGUUCCGGCCGUUAAAAGCCUUAUUUACCCAAGGUUGACCUCGGAUCAGGUAGGAAGACCCGCUGAACUUAAGCAUAUCAAUAAGCGGAGGA